AUCUCCUUCCAAAGCACACUUUUCCAAUUUUAAGGUUUCGUCGACCCCUACGGCUGCAGCAAAUACGUAGUCGUGUGUUGUCUCCGUGAUGCAGAUAUAAGUAUUUUGUACGCGUAUCGUUUGGUCGACAAUGUACUCAAAUUUCGAUCCUGAUGGGAGAGGGUUGUCCCUUGAAAGUUGACUGUACGUUGUCAAAGGGUUUCUGCUUCCGGAUUCAGUUCCCCAGGCGUAUGAAAUACUGUAGAGACGAAUCCCAAGUUGUUCGUCUUCG
rnacentral:lncRNA from 1 species